rnacentral:rRNA from 1 species
GACAGAGGAUGCAAGCGUUAUCCGGAAUGAUUGGCGUAAAGCGUCUGUAGGUGGCUUUUAAGUCCGCCGUCAAAUCCCAGGGCUCAACCCUGGACAGGCGGUGGAAACUACCAAGCUGGAGUACGGUAGGGGCAGAGGGAAUUUCCGGUGGAGCGGUGGAAAUGCGUAGAGAUCGGAAAGAACACCAACGGCGAAAGCAACUCUGCUGGGCCGACACUGACACUGAGAGACGAAAGCUAGGGGAGCGAAUGGG